AUGUUAUCAAGAAAGGUGGAGAGAUUAGACUCUGAGAAACCUUGGCAACCAUCGCAUACGAGCGAAACGGUGCUACAUUCUACUCCGAUGGGGAUAGAUAACAC
rnacentral:ncRNA from 2 species